CCUACGGGUGGCAGCAGUGGGGAAUAUUGCACAAUGGGCGGAAUCCUGAUGCAGCAAUGCCGCGUGAAGGAAGACGGUUUUCGGAUUGUUAACUUCUGUUCUUAGUGAAGAAUAAUGACGGUAACGAAGGAGCAAGCCACGGCUAACUACGUGCCAGCAGCCGCGGUAAUACGUAGGUGGCAAGCGUUGUCCGGAAUUACUGGGUGUAAAGGGAGCGUAGGCGGGUAGCCAAGUCAGCUGUGAAAACUACGGGCGUAACCUGUAGACUGCAGUUGAAACUGGCUUUCUUGAGUGAAGUAGCGGUUGGCGGAAUGUCGAGUGUAGCGGUGAAAUGCGUAGAUAUUCGGAGGAACACCGGUUGCGAAGGCGGCUAACUGGGCUUUAACUGACGCUGAGGCUCGAAAGUGUGGGGAGCGAACAGGAUUAGAUACCCCAGUAGUC
rnacentral:rRNA from 1 species